ensembl:misc_RNA Metazoa_SRP Metazoan signal recognition particle RNA
GCCAGGUGUAGUGGUGGGCGCCUGUAAUCCCAGCUACUUGGGAGGCUGAGACAGGAGAAUCGCUUGAACCCAGGAGGCGGAGGUUGCAGUGAGCUGAGAUCGCAACACUGCACUCCAGCCUGGGUGACAAAGUAAGACUCUGUCUCAA